UACGUAGGGGGCAAGCGUUGUCCGGAUUUACUGGGCGUAAAGAGCGCGCAGGCGGUCGAUCACGUCGGGUGUGAAAGCCCCCGGCUCAACUGGGGAGGGUCAUUCGAUACUGAUCGACUCGAAGGCAGGAGAGGGUAGUGGAAUUCCCGGUGUAGUGGUGAAAUGCGUAGAUAUCGGGAGGAACACCAGUGGCGAAGGCGACUACCUGGCCUGUUCUUGACGCUGAGGCGCGAAAGCUAGGGGAGCAAACGGG
rnacentral:rRNA from 1 species